rnacentral:rRNA from 1 species
UACGGGGGGGGCAAGCGUUGUUCGGAAUUACUGGGCGUAAAGGGUGCGUAGGCGGGCUGCCAAGUUUGGGGUGAAAUCCUCCGGCUCAACCGGGGAAGUGCCUCGAAUACUGGCGGUCUGGAGGGAGGUAGGGGCGUGCGGAACUAACGGUGGAGCGGUGAAAUGCGUUGAUAUCGUUAGGAACUCCGGUGGCGAAGGCGGCACGCUAGACCUCUUCUGACGCUGAGGCACGAAAGCCAGGGGAGCGAACGGG